rnacentral:rRNA from 1 species
UACGAAGGUCCCAAGCGUUAUCCGGAUUUAUUGGGUUUAAAGGGUGCGUAGGCGGCUUAUUAAGUCAGUGGUGAAAGCCCCAAGCUUAACUUGGGAACUGCCAUUGAUACUGAUGAGCUUGAGUAGAUUUGAGGCGGGCGGAAUGUGUCGUGUAGCGGUGAAAUGCUUAGAUAUGACACAGAACACCAAUUGCGUAGGCAGCUCGCUAAACUCUUACUGACGCUGAGGCACGAAAGCAUGGGGAUCAAACAGGAUUAGAUACCCUGGUAGUCCAUGCCCUAAACGAUGAUUACUCGAUGUGUGCGAUACACUGUACGCGUCUGAGCGAAAGCAUUAAGUAAUCCACCUGGGGAGUACGGUCGCAAGACUGAA